rnacentral:rRNA from 1 species
GACAUAGGUGGCAAACGUUAUCCGGAAUUAUUGGGCGUAAAGAGUGCGUAGGUGGUUUAAUAAGUUAGUAGUGGUAAAUUGGGGCUCAACUCCAUGGAAGUUACUAAUACUAUUAAACUAGAGGAUCGGAGAGGUUAACGGAAUUCUAUGUGUAGCGGUAAAAUGCUCAAAUAUAUAGAGGAACUCCAAUUGGCGAAGGCAGUUAACUAUUCGGUUCCUGACGUUGAGGCACGAAAGCGUGGGGAGCAAGACGG